GGGCGUUUAGCUCAGUUGGGAGAGCGCCUGCCCUACAAGCAGGAUGUCGGGGGUUCAAGUCCCUCAACGCCCACCA
rnacentral:tRNA from 1 species